rnacentral:lncRNA from 1 species
AUAAAUAAAUAUUGAGUUAAAUUUUGAAAGAUUAAAAGGUUGAAUACAUAACUAUUAAUGGUUAUUAGCCUUUUAAUUCAAUAAGUUACAUAAGUCCAAAUACACAUUUUUGUCCUUAAAAAGAAUUAAACUAAAUAGUUACAUUUUAACUAAGUAAAAUUUGCUGCAAAAAGGUCCCUAAUUCUAAUGGCCAAGACUAGCGCGCCUCCAAGUGUACUGUCUUACAUCCUACUUUUUCUUCCCAUUCCAUCAAAACCACCUCAGAGCUGUAACCUGCAAAGAGAAAAAAUAGCUUAUUUAAAAAGCAUUUUUCAGAAGCGCUUAAGAAACUGCAAAACAACAAAAUAAAUCAUUCAGUUUGAAGCUUUACCCAGAAAAUUAACCUAAACAUCCAAAAAGCAUGUCAAAGUUAAUCUAAAACAGGAACAGAUCAAAUCCCACAUAAUCUGGGAUGAGACAAAUUGAAAAAAAAAAGAGUUUUUUAAACUGAUAAAAAAUUCUUCAUAAGAGGUUCAUGAAAGAACAACAUCAUAUGCACAGUAAGAGAUUUCUUCUCAAAAAGUCAAAACCACAACAACAACAAAAAAACCAACUUUUUCUAUAAAAAAAGCCUAAAGAACAACAGCAUAUGCACAACAAGAAAUUUCUUCUAAAAACCUAGAACACACAUCAAGAAUAACAUAGCAAUAUUUCAUAAAAAGAACCCUUUUCCAGCACCGUUACUCUGCAGAAAUAGAAGCAAAAACAUCACUAAAGCUCUAAUCUUUCUUUUGAAGUUUGUUGAAAUUUCAUACUGAAACUCAACAAACUUGAGCUAAGCUGUGACUUACCCCAAAACCAUUACCCUAGCAGAGAUAACAUCAAGGGAACUGAUGACAACUAGAAACAGGAAAGGAGUGGAUAAAAGAGAUUUAGAGGACAGAGAGAGAGAGAGAGAGACGACACACCUUGAAGUCGAAUUUCUUCAAAGGUACUCUUGCCAGAAAUUUCAUCUUUGGUCGAGUCUUUACUCAUUGUUUUCUGUUGUUGUUGAUUUCUUGUUUUAUUAACAAUAUCGUACACUUGCUCAUUUAUUUCCCCAUUUCAUUGGCUUGUUUGUGGAUCGGUUAGGAGAAGGUUCUUUGUGUUAGAAUGCAUAAUUCUUUUUCCGAUCUGUUAGAUUUGUGGUUAUCUUUUGUCGUUUUGAGGGUAGAUGCGGAUCUGAUGUGUGUAUUUUGAAGAGAGUUUUUGGUUCUCAUGAUGAAAGGAGAGAAGGGAAAGGUAUUGGAAGGCAUAAUUUUUUUUGAUAUGGAGGUGGGAAAGAAAGCUCAGUCGAGCUUGAUUGAGAGAGGAGAUAAAAAGAUAAAAGAUAUGAUCGUUAAAGUCAUAUUCAUGAUUAGAUUUAAAUGUUUAUUAAAAUCAAUGAAAUUCUCCUUUUCCUCACUGGCAU